rnacentral:lncRNA from 1 species
AUGGCUCGUGGACAGCAGAAAAUUCAGUCUCAGCAGAAUAAUGCCAAAAAGCAAGCUGGACAAAAGAAGAAACAAGGACAUGACCAAAAGGCUGCUGCCAAAGCUGCCUUAAUAUAUACCUGCACUGUCUGUAGGACACGAAUGCCAGACCCUAAGACCUUCAAGCAGCACUUUGAGAGCAAGCAUCCUAAGACUUCACUUCCUCCAGAAUUAGCUGAUGUUCAGGCAUAA